GGCUCUAUAAUUUAAUGGUAGAAUACUUGACUGUUAAUCAAGACGCCGCAGAUCGAUACUGCGUAGAGCCU
rfam:Pseudocohnilembus persalinus scaffold565, whole genome shotgun sequence.